rnacentral:rRNA from 1 species
UACGAAGGGGGCUAGCGUUGCUCGGAAUUACUGGGCGUAAAGGGCGCGUAGGCGGAUAUUUAAGUUAGAGGUGAAAGCCCAGGGCUUAACCCUGGAAUUGCCUUUAAGACUGCAUCGCUAGAAUCGUGGAGAGGUGAGUGGAAUUCCGAGUGUAGAGGUGAAAUUCGUAGAUAUUCGGAAGAACACCAGUGGCGAAGGCGACUCACUGGACACGUAUUGACGCUGAGGUGUGAAAGCGUGGGGAGCAAACAGG